rnacentral:sRNA from 1 species
CUAAAGUUUAGUCUGAGAAGCGCCAGUGAAUCUGAAGAUGGUGACAGUGUAGAAGCUAACAACGCUUCUGAAGAUGGAGACACUGUAGAAGACAAAAACACUU